GAGGGUAUAGCUAAGUCGUAGGGCGUGUGCUUAGCAUGUACAGGGUCCUGGGUUCAAUCCCCAGUACCUCCA
rnacentral:tRNA from 1 species